rnacentral:lncRNA from 1 species
UUUCCGGCUGUCUGUUCGUGGCUGAGAAUAUGUCACUAGGAAGCUGAACGGACAAUCUGUCUGCAUGGACAGGGCUGGGUGAUGGUAAUAGCUAGAUGAUUUGGGUAUCACUUUGCAAUUCAAAACCUGAGACUUCCAAAGAUGCUUCUUGAUUUGAUGUUCCAGGUGGCUGAGAAGAAAUGGACAUUAAGUGAUUGCUUGUGGCUUUGAAAGGUCAUGAUCCACUUCCUUCAGCAGGCUGGAGAAUGUCAAACUGCACCUGAACGUUAAGCAUCAUAUUUUUCUGGUUAUAGAUGCAAAUCAUGUGACAGUGGCAAGCAGCUCAUUCUCAUGCAUGUCCAAUGUUGAAUUAAGGCAGAGCUCCAAGCUGAUGGGCACUUCUGUGACCGGCAUUCAGAGGUGUACUUAUUUCAGUCCAACACUGCCUCUCACUUAACUCCAGCAUCAAAGGAAUUUGAACAAUUUGGCUGGUGGGUACAGGAGAAGGCAAUUCCUCAUUUUAUGUAUAAUCAUUUACACAUGUAGAACCCUUAAAAUAUGUCGUUCUUUCACAACUCAAGUUUUGCACAUAAUUCAUUGACUAAGGAUAAAGUAACUGACACAUUUCAAGAAAAUAUUGCAAGAAUUAUGCACGUAGGCAUUUGAAACAUUGUUAGACAAUAAAAAUCCAUAA